rnacentral:rRNA from 1 species
AGCGGUACGCGAGCUGGGUUCAGACCGGCGUGAGCCAGGUCGGUCCCUAUCUGCUGUGGGCGUUGCAAGUUUGAGAGGAGUCAACCUUAGUACGAGAGGACUGGGUUGGACGAACCCCUGGUGAUUCUGUUGUGCCGCUAGGCGCAUUGCAGAGUAGCUACGUUCGGCAGGGAUAACCGCUGAAAGCAUCUAAGCGGGAAGCCCCCCUCGAGAUGAGACUUGCUUGCACAUAAGUGUGAGAGACCCGUGGAAGACUACCACGUUGAUAGGCCGCGAGUGUAAGGAUUGAGAAGUCCUCAGCUGAGCGGUACUAAUGGUCGAA